UGGCAAUGAUGUAACUAGAAUUUCUUCACCUGAAAUCUCACCGUGUGGUUUUAGAGCUUUUUAACCCUGAGCAGC